rnacentral:miRNA from 1 species
AGUUUGGGAUGGAGAGAGGAGA